GGCUUAUUGAGUAUGAUUUUAGGUCUGACCUGCCCAAUGAAUAGUUAAAUGGCCGCGGUAUAUUGACCGUGCAAAGGUAGCAUAAUCAUUAGUUUUUUAAUUGAAAGCUGGAAUGAAAGGUUUAAUGAAAAAUUAGCUGUCUCUACUUAAAUUUAUUAGAAUUUUAUUUUUAAGUUAAAAAGCUUAAAUAUUUAUAAAAGACGAGAAGACCCUAUAGAGUUUUAUAUAUAAAUAUGAGUGGAAUUUUUAGUAUUUUAAGUUUAAUUUUAUUUAUGUAUUUUGUUGGGGUGAUAGAAAAAUUUGCAAAACUUUUUUUUUAUUUAAACAUUAAUUUAUGAAUUUUUGAUCCUGAGUUUUAGAUUAAAAGAUUAAAUUACCUUAGGGAUAACAGCGUGAUUUUUUUUAGAGUUCUUAUCGAAAAAAGAGAUUGCGACCUCGAUGUUGGAUUAAAAUUAAUUUUUGGUGUAGAAGCUAGAAAGGAGGGUCUGUUCGACCUUUAAAAUUUUACAUGAUCUGAGUUUAAACCGGUGUAAG
rnacentral:rRNA from 1 species